GGUGGCCAACGCAAGGGAGAUGGCGCCGAUGUGGCCAUCUCAGGCAGGGUGGGUACGCCGGGGUCCAGCUGUGGCCCUAUUCAAACACAAAUGGAUCACUGUUAAUAUCGGUGAAAUUAUCGAUUGUGCGGACUGCGGGCCAGGGAUGGAACUCCACCUGAGUACCGAUGAGCCAGCCGGCGCGGCCCAGGGAAGACAACCAGUCCGUAACAAAUAAAAACAACAAAAAUAACAAAUUAAAAAGCAAAAGUAAAUGGUAACAGUUUAAAAUUUGCAACAGAAUAAAAAGCAAAGCGCAGCUAAAUUGUAUAAUUUUAGAAUUAUUUAAAAAUUAAAAGUAAAGUAUUUUAUAAUACUGUUUUCAAAAUUAAAAUGAAUUAAAUAUUUGAGUUAAAGCAUAAUCGUGAACAAGUUUACAAGUAAACAUUAAAAGAAAUGUUGUUCAAUAAAUUACAUUAUAUUAAGUUAAAACAAUGAAUGAUAGGAAUUUAAAAUCAGUGCCAAUUUAAAAAAAAACAACAAACACAAAUUAAAACGUAUGCAAUUAUAUCGCGAAUGUACAACAAGUGUUUUGGUGAAAAUUUUAUUUUUUAUUUAUAUUUAGCUCGGUUCCAGCACAACUUCGCCGGAGAUCGAUCGCUGCCGCAGGAGUUCUGUUGGUGAGUUUGUUUAUUUCGAAAACACAUAUUAUCACUUUCACCUUCAUUCGCUAUGUAUCACCACGAAAUAUAAUUUAAAAGAGCAUACGAAAAAAUCAAAUUAUUAAGUAUUAAAAAAAUUUUAAAUAGAAUUUAUAAAAGAAAAACAAAUCUUUACAUUAGAUAAAACGAAGCACUGAAAUUAAAACACAUAUAUAGAUUUAAAACAAAUUAUUAUAAUAUUGCAACUGUCCUCAUAUAAUAUUAUUAUUGAUUUUAUACAAUUUAUUUUCUUGUUAUAAUGCAUUACUACUUAUCUUUUAUUAUUAAUUAAAUUGUAUUAACCAUGGAAUAAUUCUGUCCUUAUUUAGCCGAAACAAGCCGUUGACUCCACUGACGUAGGGGUCGAAGGGAUCACCAGAGCCAUGCUCUGAUGCAGUGAUCUUAGGUUGGGAGGGGACUUCAUCACUUAACAGCUGUGAUGACCUACCUCAAUUCUCGCUCUCUCUUUCUCUCUCUCUCUCUUAUUCUCUCUCUCUCUCUUUGUUUUUGUAUUUUCGAGACAUUUUUGGAUUUUUCUUUCUCUUUCCAUAAUGGAAUUUUCGUGUAAUCUAGCUGCUCAUCCCACUUCUUCUUUGUCAUUGCAUCAACUUUGUGCAUGACCAGGUGAAUAAGGAUUGCAUUUGCAAUCUUCUUAUCAUCACCUAUCGACAACAAAGAUCCGUAUAUCGCAGAGACAGUGUCAAUCAAGUUUCGCAACGCUGAAGCGGAGGGCUGCGAAAUCUUUGGCAAAUUGAAAAGAGCAGUGAUAUUUUCAUUAAAUAUCAGACAAUCAUUGUCAUAUACUCUUUUCAAACUCGCCAUUGCUUUCUCAUAGUUGUCCUCAGUGACUUGAAACGCUCUCACCGUUCCUCACCAGAGAGACAAGAAAUGAGAUGAUUGAAUUUCUCAAUGCGCGGAAUUGAAUGGUCAUUGUCAACAAGAGUCUCAAACAAACUUAUGAAAUUUUUAAAUUCGGAAUACUUUCCGCUGAACUUUGGCAAUGAGAGUUUAGGCAGACGGGUACGAGGAGCGGCAAUCGGCUGAAUCGAUAUAUUGGCGGAUGAAGUAUCGGUCAACGAUUUCACCAUCGCCUUCAGCCUUGCCUUUGCAGUAAUGCAAAUCUCUUCUAACUCGCACCGGUAUUCGUCAAAUGUCUCAAUUCUGCUUUGAUAUUUGAGAGCAUUUUCAAUAUGCGACGACAACAUCUCAAGCCUGCACUCUAGCUCUGUCAAAUCUCGACCGAUAGUGUCAUCGAGAAUUUGAUCAUUAAUUCUGCUAAUGCUCUUCACGCAAAUAUCAAGUUUCUUUCUAGAGCCUUCAAGAGUUUCUUUCGAAUUCAUUUUUUAUAUAGGUUAUAGAGGAGACGACAAAAAAAUAAAAUACAAAA